rnacentral:rRNA from 1 species
UACGUAGGGGGCAAGCGUUUGUCCGGAUUUAUUGGGCGUAAAGAGCGUGUAGGCGGUUUGGUAGGUCCGUUGUGAAAACUCGAGGCUCAACCUCGAGACGCCGGCGGAAACCAUCAGGCUAGAGUCCGGAAGAGGAGAGUGGAAUUCCUGGUGUAGCGGUGAAAUGCGCAGAUAUCAGGAAGAACACCCGUGGCAAGGCGGCU